rnacentral:rRNA from 1 species
GACGAACCGAGCGAACGUUGUUCGGAAUUACUGGGCGUAAAGGGCUCGUAGGCGGCCAACUAAGUCAGACGUGAAAUCCCUCAGCUUAACUGGGGAACUGCGUCUGAUACUGGAUGGCUUGGAUUUGGGAGAGGGAUGCGGAAUUCCAGGUGUAGCGGUGAAAUGCGUAGAUAUCUGGAGGAACACCGGUGGCGAAGGCGGCAUCCUGGACCAAUAUUGACGCUGAGGAGCGAAAGCCAGGGGAGCAAACGGG